UUCAACCACCUGUGAACUUUUGAUAGAUCUGUGAAGUCGUCCUUCAAGUCGUCAGACUUGGUUUGCUGGGAUUUAAACGUCUCGGUGUGACAACGCAGUCUAUUUACUUAACACACCCCAAAUGUAUGUCUACGAAUGUCAUUUAAUGGGCCUUGUGCCUAUAAACCAUAAUACAACUUUCAACAACGGAUCUCUUGGCUCUCGCAUCGAUGAAGAACGCAGCGAAAUGCGAUAAGUAAUGUGAAUUGCAGAAUUCAGUGAAUCAUCGAAUCUUUGAACGCACCUUGCGCCCCUUGGUAUUCCGAGGGGCAUGCCUGUUUGAGUGUCAUUAAAUUCUCAAACUCACAUUGGUUUUACUAUUUGUGAUGUUUGGAAUGUUGGGGGUUGCUGGCUGUGACAGGUCGGCUCCUCUUAAAUGCAUUAGCAGGACUUCUCAUUGCCUCUGCGCAUGAUGUUAAUUAUCACUCACAAUAGCACGCAUGAAUAGAGUCCAGCUCUCUAAUCGUCCGUAAGGACAAUUUGACAAUUUGACCUCAAAUCAGGUAGGACUACCCGCUGAACUUAAGCAUAUCAAUAAGCGGAGGAAAAGAAACUAACAAGGAUUCCCCUAGUAACUGCGAGUGAAGCGGGAAAAGCUCAAAUUUAAAAUCUGUCUUUGGCCAUCCGAGUUGUAAUCUAGAGAAGUGUUAUCCGCGCUGGACCGUGUACAAGUCCCCUGGAAUGGGGCGUCAUAGAGGGUGAGAAUCCCGUCUUUGACACGGCAUACCAGGGCUUUGUGAUGCACUCUCAAAGAGUCGAGUUGUUUGGGAAUGCAGCUCAAAAUGGGUGGUAAAUUCCAUCUAAAGCUAAAUAUUGGCGAGAGACCGAUAGCGAACAAGUACCGUGAGGGAAAGAUGAAAAGAACUUUGGAAAGAGAGUUAAACAGUACGUGAAAUUGUUGAAAGGGAAACGCUUGAAGUCAGUCGCGUCUGCCAGGGAUCAACCUUACUUUUGUGAGGCGUCAUUCCUGGUUGAUGGGUCAGCAUCAGUUUUGGUCGCUGGAUAAAGGUCAGAGAAAUGUGGCACCCUCGGGUGUGUUAUAGUCUUUGAUCAGAUACAGUGGCUGGGACUGAGGAACUCAGCGUCGCAAGGCUGUCUUAGGAUGCUGGCAAAAUGGCUUUAAUCGACCCGUCUUGAAACACGGACCAAGGAGUCUAACAUGCCUGCG
rnacentral:rRNA from 1 species